UCGCUCCUACCGAUUUCGAGUGAUUCGGUGAACCAUUUGGACUGGAGGAGACCUCGUGUCGCCACUGGAAAAUCUAGUAAAUCCAAUCACUUAGAGGAAGGAG
rnacentral:rRNA from 1 species